rnacentral:SRP_RNA from 1 species
AGUGGUCCAGCCUCUUUGCCGCCAUCGAUGAGGAGAACCUGCCGCCACUGCAAGCUAAGUGCUCGACCAUGGUUUCUUCCGAGAUGGAGCGUCACCACUUGGAGAUCUUGAGGACCUACUCCCACUCCGACCUGCACGAC